AGGUGUAUGAUAUUGGUAUCCAAAGGUAUCAAUGCAUCCACGUGGACCGGCUAACACCUGCCCAGUGCCGGAAGGUCAAAAAAGUUGGUGACUUGAUGAUAGGAGAGCCGACGACCAAAACCUCAGUGAACGGCGGCCAUAACUAUAACAGUCCUAAGAUAGCAAAAUUCUUUGCCGGUUAAGUUCCGACCCGCAGGAAAGGCGUAACAAUCU
rnacentral:ncRNA from 1 species